AAACUAAAGAAAAACUUUUGUUUAACCCUUUCAGCGCCAAGAACCCCUAAAGGUGUCGUCACUAGUUGUGCCCACAGCGCCAAGGACAACUAUAGGUGUUAUGGCGGACGCUGUCAAACUAACCUUCACACUUUCAAGUAAGGUUUACAUUAGCUCCCUUCCACCCGGGAGCUUAGUCUGUAAUGUUUGUGUUUAUGACA